rnacentral:tRNA from 1 species
GCCUUCGUGGUGUAGUGGUCAGCACGCUGGAUGCGUAUUCCAGAGGUCCAUGGUUCAAACCCAGGCGAGGGCG